GACAGAGGUGCCGAGCGUUAGGCGGAAUCACUGGGCUUAAAGCGUGUGUAGGCGGGUCGUUAAGUACCUUGUGAAAUCCCACGGCUCAACCGUGGAACUGCUGGGUAUACUGGCGAUCUUGAGCAAUCUAGGGGCGAGCGGAACAAACGGUGGAGCGGUGAAAUGCGUAGAUAUCGUUUGGAACGCCAACGGUGAAAACAGCUCGCUGGGGAUUUGCUGACGCUGAGACACGAAAGCCGGGGAGCGAACGGG
rnacentral:rRNA from 1 species